UGAACGCUAGCGGCAGGCUAACACAUGCAAGUCGAGGGGCAGCGCGGGUAGCAAUACCUGGCGGCGACCGGCGCAAGGGUGCGUAACGCGUGAGCAACUUGCCCGUAACAGGAGGAUAACCGGAGGAAACUCCGACUAAUACUGCGUAGCAACGGAUUGUGGCAUCACAGACCGUUUAAAGGUUUCGGCCGGUUACGGAUAGGCUCGCGUGACAUUAGCUUGAUGGCGGGGUAACGGCCCACCAUGGCGACGAUGUCUAGGGGUUCUGAGAGGAAGGUCCCCCACACUGGUACUGAGACACGGACCAGACUCCUACGGGAGGCAGCAGUGAGGAAUAUUGGACAAUGGUCGGAAGACUGAUCCAGCCAUGCCGCGUGAAGGCUAAGGUCCUAUGGAUUGUAAACUUCUUUUGUACGAGAGGAAUAAGGUAGACGUGUCUACCGAGGACAGUGUCGUACGAAUAAGCAUCGGCUAACUCCGUGCCAGCCGCCGC
rnacentral:rRNA from 1 species